GAAAAGAAACUAACUAGGAUUCCCUUAGUAACGGCGAGUGAACCGGGAUGAGCUCAAAUUUAAAAUCUGGCGUCUUUCAGGCGUCCGAGUUGUAAUCUAUAGAGGCGUUUUCCGCGCCGGACCGCGUCCAAGUCCCUUGGAAUAGGGUAUCAAAGAGGGUGACAAUCCCGUACUUGACGCGACAACCGGUGCUCUGUGAUACGUUCUCAACGAGUCGAGUUGUUUGGGAAUGCAGCUCUAAACGGGUGGUAAAUUCCAUCUAAGGCUAAAUAUUGGCGAGAGACCGAUAGCGAACAAGUACCGUGAGGGAAAGAUGAAAAGCACUUUGGAAAGAGAGUUAAACAGCACGUGAAAUUGUUAAAAGGGAAACGAUUGAAGUCAGUCGUGUGAAAGGUAUUCAGCCGUCUCUGGCGGUGUAUUUGCCUUUCACGGGUCAACAUCAGUUUAGUCCGGUAGAAAAAGGCGGGAGGAAGGUGGCACCCUCGGGUGUGUUAUAGCCUCCUGUCACAUGUGCCGGAUUAGACUGAGGAACGCAGCUUGCAGCAAUGCCGGGGUUCGCCCACGUACAAGCUUAGGAUGUU
rnacentral:rRNA from 1 species